AAGUCGUAACAAGGUUUCCGUAGGUGAACCUGCGGAAGGAUCAUUAAUACGCUUUUGUUUGUAACAAAACAAAACGUUUUAAACUCCAAAAGAAAUAGUGGAAAUAUAACUUCCGGAUGCGAAUUGUUGGGAACUGAGUAAAAUCGGUUCUUUGAAAAAAGGGACUUCAAGCAAUUGACACUUCAGAGUAGAGCAGUGAGGUGAAAUUCUCUUUAAUGAGAGUUUGGUUCUGAAAACAUUUGUAUCCGGUUAUCAUAAUCUGUUCUUCAACCUCCAAAAUAUCAAACAAUAAACCCCAUGUACAACAACUUGAACUAAACAUUUUUUUGUCGUCCGCUUACACACUUGUUGUGUGAGAAGAUACUGCAAAGAAAAAACCUGAACUUAAGAACAACUCUUAACAACGGAUAUCUUGGUUCUC
rnacentral:misc_RNA from 1 species